UACGUAGGUGGCUAGCGUUGUCCGGAUUUACUGGGCGUAAAGAGCGCGCAGGCGGUCGUUCAAGUCGAGUGUGAAAGCCCCCGGCUCAACUGGGGAGGGUCACUCGAUACUGAUCGGCUCGAAGGCAGGAGAGGGAAGCGGAAUUCCCGGUGUAGUGGUGAAAUGCGUAGAUAUCGGGAGGAACACCAGUGGCGAAGGCGGCUUUCUGGCCUGCUCUUGACGCUGAGGCGCGAAAGCUAGGGUAGCAAACGGG
rnacentral:rRNA from 1 species